rnacentral:lncRNA from 1 species
UUUUUUUUUUUUUUUUUUUUUGUCUUUUUGCCAUUUCUUGGGCUGCUCCGGCCGCAUAUGGAGGUCCCCAGACCAGGGGUCAAAUCGGAGCUGUAGCCACCGGACUACACUAGAACCACAGCAACGUGGGAUCUGAGCCAUGUCUGCAGCCUACACCACAGGUCAUGGCAAUGCCAGAUCCUUAACCCACUGAGCAAGGCCAGGGAUUGAACCCACAACCUCAUGGUUCCUAGUCAGAUUUGUUAACCACUGAGCCACGACGGGAACUCUCUUCAUUCCCCUUUUGACUAAACCCUUCAACUAACCAAAACAUGUCCCUUGAUGGUGGGGUGACUUAUGCUUGCCCCGGUCUAGACAUGUCCCUCAGUGCUAGGCAUCCUUUUUAUUUGCCUAGUUAGUAGAUAGUCACAUUGGAGGAAAAUUGAUCAGAUGUUGUGAACCAGCUCAGAGCUAUGUUAAUGCGAAACACUUUAUAAGCCAUCCUUUUUUUUUUUGGUCUUUUAAGACUGCACCCAAGGCACAUGGAAGUUCCCAGACUAGGGGUCAAAUCAGAGCUGUAGCUGCCAACCUAUUCCACAGCCACAGCAACACGGGACCCAAGUUGCAUCUGCAACCUACACCACAGCUUAUGGCAAUGCCAGAUCCUUAACCCACUGAGUGAGGCCAGGGAUUGAACCCUCAUCUUCAUGGAUACUAGUCGGGUUCAUCACUGCUGAGCCACAACAGGAACUCCUGCACCAGCCUACUUUUAAUAACAAAAUCUAGGAGUUCCAGAUUUUGAAUAAUACAUAUAUAUAAACAUAUAUAUAUUAUUUGCUCACAUUCACAUGUCUCACUUUCAGCAAAACCAGGAAGAAAGAACAGGAUUUGGACUUAGGUACCAUGAACAGCCCCCAAAAUAAAAACUAAAGCAAAUGUGAAAGGCCCACUUUGAUGUAAUAACAGAAGCAUUAGGGGCCAUUGUUUUUUAGAUUUUAGGAAGUACUGAGGUCACACAGUGUUACAAUAAAAAUGUGUUCUUUAAUUUAUGGAUGCACUAGCUAAAAAUCUAGUUUUGCUAAAAAUACACCUUAGGGGAACUGUAAAAUGAAACAGCUCUGAUUAUCCAUACUUAAUUAACUAAGGCCGGUGUUAUCAAAUAUCAAGCAAAUAAAUGCAAUGCAACACGGUCUCUCAGAGUCAUAGUUCCCUAGCACCAAGAAGGGAGAUUCCCAACCAAUACCCUGUCAGUCCAAAAGGGGAGAACCCCACACAAUGCCCCAUUAGAGAUGAAGCUGAUUGAAUGACCAAAGCUAGUUCAAAAGGGAAAAUCACAACCAACACUUCCAUAGGUGAAGCCCAAAGCAAUAGUGAAGGAUACCCUGGUGUCGUCACAACAAGCCCAGUUACUCACCAAAGAUGUCUCUACUAGCCAUUGUUAAGUACUGACACACACACAAACAACAAACAUCCCACAAACAAAGUCACAAGCUGGCUUACCCCAAAACGAUAAACACAAAAACACAAGCUACAAUUGCACAGACAAUCAGAAGAGAUACAGUCUAAAAUUCUACUUCUAUUCCCAGAGGCCUCCAAAGAGACUGGCCCAGCUCUCAAAAGAGAACAGACCUGGAAUGGCUCACUUCCCACAAGGGCAGCAGCCCAAAUGAAGUGAAGAAAAUUCCUAGCCUGUGCCAGUUAGAGCAACUUACCAAAUGGGGACCUCAACUCAGGAUGUUUCUUAGCUCCAAAUAGCCUCAUGCGUUGGGGCAGCUGGUGCCAGUCCGGGACAGUCCGUUUGAGAUCCCUGGAGCGAAGUGAACUCUGGCAGCUCCUGGGACUCAGGGAAGGAGUUGCUUCUGGCUGAAGUCAACCUGAUAUAGCCACAGACUCCUGGCCGGCUCACCAGAAUUGUUACCAGAAGCAAGUCCAUGUAUCUGACCCACAGUGAGACCAAAUAAAACUGGAACAUCAGAGUUUGGAGCAGAGAAAAGUUUAUUGCAGUGCCAUGCAAGGAGAUGGGUGGCUCAUGCCCAAGAAAAAACCCCAAACUCCCCAAAGGCUUUUAGCCAAGACAUUUUAAAGUCAAAGUCAGGGAGGGGUAUGGUUGGUUGGUGGCAAACUUCUUGAUGCUGGUUGACUUCUUUGGUCAAGCAGCUCUCACAUAGGUCAGGUCAUGAUGUUCCUGUAAGCCUUCAACAAAACAAAUGUUAUUCUCUGUUCUGCAUCUUUUUAUCUCUAUAUGAAUGGACUCUUAAAGGUCAGCAACUUGGAACUAGGCUAUCCUGUAGGUUUUGGGCUAUAGGCAACAUUCUUUUACAAAAGGUGCACAGUCAGCAUGACCAUGCUCACAUAGCAAAGAACAAAGGUUAGGAGUUCUCCUGUGGAGCAGAGGGUUAAGGAUCCAGCAUAGACACUGCAGUGGUUUGAGGCACUGCUGUGGCGCAGUUUCAGUUGCUGGCCUAGGAACUUCCAUGGGUCAAGGGCAUGGCCAAAAAAAAAAAAAAAAAAAAAGCACAAAGAUUAAAACAAAAAGAAACUGAAGUUCCUGCUGCAUUGUACUGGGUUAAGGACCCAGUGUUGUCUCUGCUGGGUCUUGGGUAGCUGCUGAGGUGUGGGCUCAAUCCCUGGCCCAGAAAAGAGGGUUAAGGAUCCACCAGUGCCGCAGCUGUGGCAUAGGGUCACAGCUGCGACUUGGAUUUGAUCCUUGACCCAGAAUUUAUAUGCUGCAGGUGAGGCCCCCCCCAAAAGUAAGAAAGAACAGAUAUAAUAUGGAGUCCGAUUUGUUCUUCCUAUGGCAAUAUUUGUCUUUUUUAGGGUUGCACCUGCAGCAUAUGGAAGCUCCUGGGAUAGGGGUCAAAUCAGAGCUGCAGCUGCCGGUCUACACCAUGGGCAUAGCAAUGCAGGGUCCUAGCUGCAUCUUCGAACUACUCCACAGUUCAAGGCAACACCAGACCCUUAACCCACUGAGUGAAGCCAGGGAUCGAAGCCACAUCCUCACAGACUGCAUGUCAGGCUACUUAACUUGCUGAGCCACCAUGGGAGUUCCACUUCUUUUUUUCCUUAUUAUUUCUAUUUGAUGGAAAUACUUUAAAUAAAUCCAUUUUACUUCCUUGCAAGGAAGUGGGAAAAAGAGUUAAAUUUAUAAUGUCAUGGUAAACCACAGAUCCUGAAGCUGGAAGGCAUCUCCAGAGAUAAUACAGUCAAAGUUUUUUCUGCCAGAAGAGACAGGUAAGAACCAAAAAAGUCAAGUGAUGUGCCUAAGGGAACACAGUAUUUUGAUGGUAAAUCCUUAUAAAUAAACAUGGAGUGCAUUGUAAUUGUGUCCUCUUUUUCAAAAAUUAAGUUUUUAAUGUUGUAUGAUACUUGAGAUAUAACUUUAAAAUACACGUAUCAAUGAGUUUUGAGGAUUUUUUUUUGCCAACACAGUUGUACUAUAUUUUGAAAUGAAUACUAAACAUUAAUGUUUCCAUGAUGGCUUUUAGUUUUCUUAAUUUUCUCCGUUAAAUACUCAGCAGUUCUGUGAACAAGGCACCAUUAUUUCAUCAUUUUACAGAGGUGCAGGAACUGAGGCCCAAAUAGAUUGAAUAACUUUCCCAGUGCUAGAGGGUGCAGAAAGUAAAGCCAUCGCCAUGGUCUAGUCUUUUUUUUUUUUUUUUUUUUUUUGGUCUUUUUAGAGCCUCACGUGAGGCAUACAGAAAUUCCCAGGCUAUGCCACAGCCACACACGAUCAGAGCCUCCUCUUUAUCUACACCACAGCUCACAGCAAUGCUAGAUCCUUAACCCACUGAGCUAGGCCAGGGAUCGAACCCGCAUCCUCAUGGAUACUAGUUGGGUUUGUUAUUGCUGAGCCAAUGGGAACUCCCUAGUCCUUUUGACCUUAAGGUUUAUGUUGUAAACCAUACUCUGUCAGUUUCCUGUUUGUAACAGUAUUCAGUAAAUUUCCAGUUAGAGGUUAGUGAUUUAAUAGUAAAAGUAAUAGCAAGUGUUCAUAAUCUUAAUGGGCUUGAGCAUUUUCCUUCCCCUGAAAACAGAAGCACAUGUACAUUUACACGGAUUGCCAACAAUAUCAGCAGGUAACAGCUGAGAUCAGCACUGCCACAGUGCCAUCUUUUGCUCCUUUGUGUUUUCAAUGGAAGUAUUUUAUUGAGAACUAUAAGUGGUUUUGUAACACUUGGUGGAUUUUAUAAUCACGAAAAAAUACACAUGCUGUGUUAAUACUAGUUAUACUUUCUUUUUUUGACUGUUAAUACAAAGUAUCCACAUUGCAUUAGCAGAGCUUUUUUUUUUUUCCCCUUCCAUUUUUUGGCUGCCCAGGGCAUAUGGAGUUCCUAGCCAGGGAUCAGGUGCCAGCCACAGUUGCGACCUAAGCCAUAGCUGUGGCAACCCCCGUUCCUUAACCAACUGUGCUGGGCUGGGGAUCAAACUUAAGUUCCAGUGCUCUCAAUAUGUCAUCGAUCCCAUUGUGCCACAGUGGGAACUCCACAUUAACAGUGCUUUUAACAUUGUUUUAUCAGCCUUUAAAGUGUUCUUGGAGUUUUCCUGUGGCGUAGCGGGUUAAAAAUCUGGUGAUGUCAAUACAGUGGCUUGGGUUGCUGCUAUGGCACAGGUUUGAUCCCUGGCCUGGGAGUUUCCACAUGCCACAGGCAAGGCCAAAAAAUAAAAAUAAUGUGUUCAUGAUUGAAAUUCCAAGCCCCCAUUGGAUCUAAAACUGUAAGCUUGGGUAUCCUGGCAUCAGCACUUUUACUGAACAUCACAGGUCAUUCUGAUGUAUGCGACAGGCCCAGAUCACUUGUCUAGUUCCAAAAAUGUGUGGCAAAAAAAAAAAUUGUUUAAACUUUUAAAAGAAUUAAAAAAAAAAACAAAAAACUCCUUGACCAUGCCUGAAGAUUACCUAGACUGGGAAGACUUAAUAAUUACCUUCAAAAGUACUUAUGUAUAUUCUUGUAGCAAUUCUUCUAUAAUAGUUUAUGCUUUAUUAUUAUAUAUAGUAAUCAUUUUGUGAAACUUCUGUUUGUCAUUUAUAUAAUUAUGACAUGUUUAUAAAAUUUUAAAAUCUCCUAUAAUUAUUAUUAGCCUUUUUUAAAGAAUUUGGUGUGGUGUAGGUUGCAGACGCGGCUCGGAUCCCGAGUUGCUGUGGCUCUGGCGUAGGCCGGUGGCUACAGCUCCGAUUCGACCCCUAGCUUGGGAACCUCCAUAUGCCGAGGGAGCAGCCCAAAAUAGCAAAAAAAGACCAAAAAAAAAAAAAAAAAAAAGGAAUUUGGAAUCUGAAUACCAGAUUGCACAUUCCUAACACACAUUAUCCUGUUUAAUCUUCAUAAUAAUUUUGUGAAGUACAUGGUAUUAUCCUUUUUUUUUUUUUAACAAGAGACGAUUCAGAGGCCUUAAGAGGGAGGAUAACUUCUCCAAAGUCACAUGACUAGCAAGUGGUGGAACAUUUAUUAAUAGUUAUUUCGGAGUUCCCGUCAUGGCUCAGCAGAAACAAAUAUGACUGGUAUCCAUGACGAUACAGGUUCAAUCCCUGGCCUUACUCAGUGGGUUAAGGAUCUGGUGUUGCUGUGACCUGUGGUGUGGGCCAGUGGCUACAGCUCUGUUUCAACCCCAAUAUAUUUUAAUAGUUAUUUCUUCUUCUUCUUCUUUUUUUUUUUGGCCUCACCCAUGGCACGUGCAAAUUCUUGGGGCAGGGAUCAUAUAAUACAGCAUCGACCCAAUCCACUGGAGUGACAAUGCCAGAUCCUUAACCCACUGUACUACAAGGGAACUCCUAUUAAUAGUUAUUUCUGCUUAUUUCUUCUCUUUUGUCUCUGGGAACUUUGAAAAGAAGAAAACCCUCUUCUACCUACCUGUUAAGCUCUGUCACAGUAGACGGCUGCUUGGUGAGGUCUCAAUUUCUUUAUCAGAGAUUUGUGUUCUUUCCAGGAAAAGAAAAGAAACCCUGCAGUGGAUUGGUGGUACAGAGGAACACAAGAACACUGCAGAGUGGAUCCCCAACCCCUCCAGAAUGGCUUUUCCUGAGGGUCAUGACCAUUUGGUUUCUGACCUGGGGCUUUCCAUGCCUUAAAAAGUUGUUGGCUUAAGGAUCUUGGAAACAUGAUGAAAAUAAGAUUAUGUUCUCAGAAAAGUACACCUGCCCUUAGUCCUCUGUUUUAGAAAUACAC